ensembl:lncRNA RMST rhabdomyosarcoma 2 associated transcript
GGGCUUUGUGUUACUGGAAUCGUCGGAGGUGAAGUGUGAGCGGAGCUGAGUGGAAGGAUUCUCAGGAUGAUGGAGUGAGUGAUGGAAUAGGUUGCCAACUGUAGUUACUCCACUCAGCACAGAAUGGCUGCGGGGAAAUAUAAUCAGACAUGCCCAAAGAAGUCUGCUUAGGGUGAAACAAAUACCUUUGAGGUUUAAAUCAGAAAGGAAGGAGAGACUGUUUCUACAGGUGUCAUACAAAAAUCAAUACUGAGCCAAGGAUUAUUGGAUCCCAUAGAACCACGGAGACUUGGUAGUGAAAUUCUUCCAAAGGCAGAUGGUGUUCCUAGGUUUGGAAAUAUAAAUCCCAUGGGAAGUCAGCUGAAGACCAUUUUAUGCAUCACUCAUCCUGUUAGAGCCCUGUGCUGUUCUGUCUCUCUAUAAGACUGGCUGAAACCACCACGGUUGUUUACAAUUUAUGCUCUAACUUUGGAUCACCUAGUUAAUACUCUAACUCCGAUUAUUACCAAAGACAAUGUUCUAUAAAAGAUAUUGUCUAUUAGAAGGAUGCUUCUGCAUUAUUAAUAAAAUCACAGGGAAAAUGCAACAUUUUGGAUGUCACAUCUGAUAAGUUGGCAGUUAAAGAACAGAAACAGCAAUAAGACUGCGUGGCUACAUUUUCCCAGUGCCACCAACUGGGAUUUAAGCUGACUAACAUUUUGAAAGCCCAGCCCAUUUCAUUCACAGCAGGAUGGCAGUGGGUGACUGAUCGUACCCGCCAGCUGGCUAAUGUCAUAAUUAACAAAGUUGCUACUACAUCUGCAAAGUUUAAUCGAAAAAUUUGCCAGUGAUAUGAUGGCCUUGUCACAGAGAUCACAAGGGACACGGAGUUGACUUUUGCUCAAGGUGGAACGACAGAGCUGUGUAGGCAAGAUGAGAAAUUGCGAACUUGUUCGGCCAAAGGAACGACUAUGCUCUGGAGAGUCCUGUAAUUUGCAGAAAAUGGACCAAGAUAACAUUUGAGUUCCAUGCUACCAAAAUCCUCUUGAGAAGGACAGCUAGCUACCCAGAAUAUUUAACAUUGUGACAUUGAAAUGUUGGAUGAACGAUUAAAAUGAAGAAUCUAGUCAUAGGUUGUAAGAAAUCGCUAAAUUAUUAUGUUUAAUCCAAAGAAGAGAAAGGAAAAGCUGUUUUCAUUCCCCCCAGCCUCUGAGGUGCUAAUAAUGAAGGGGCCGGGAAGGAGGCCAGUGCUACCAGGGUUAUCUCACAACCUCAGAUGCUGGAUAAGUCGACGGAGGCAGAAUCGCUUUGGGAUGACAUUCAGAAAGCCUGGAGUGAUUACUUGCAAGAGAAAAGCCUACCUAUUCUUUCCAAGGUGCAGGAAUAUUCCCCUGACCUGCUCAUCCAGUGGUCCAGUAAUGAAUUACUGGAGACCUGCCUUAGACAAAGAAUGCACUCGGAGCCCCAACACACCUAAAGCCAUGCUUUGAAGGAUCUGCCAAGCUCACUUUUAAUCAUGAGAAAGAAAUUACCCACACGGAGUCAGCAGAAAAUGAGAAAGUAGAGCUCGUGCUGUGAAUAAUUCCAGCAAGUGCCAAGGGGCUAGUUGAGGAAUGGCUUCAUGAGAUGUUAGUCUAAAACAGCACCUUGGAUCUAAGCAGCACCUUUGAGAAAGAAAAGACUGCUUCAAGAAUGUCUAGUUGCACCUCCUUUCCGUAUGUGGCCUAAAUGCCUAGGUUGGAUCAAUAGUUUAAUUUUUUUAUUGAACUGUUUAAUAUUGACUAUGGACUUACAUUCACUUUUACUGUUUUCUGUAUAUUUACUUUUGCUUGAAGUGUUUUAAUAUUGACUAUUUACCUCUGCUCAUUUUUAUUGAUUUUCUGUAUUUUUUCAAUGAAAAUUAUAAUAAAAAUUAUUUUUGUU